UACGGAGGGUGCAAGCGUUAUCCGGAUUCACUGGGUUUAAAGGGUGCGUAGGUGGGUCUGUAAGUCCGUGGUGAAAUCUCCGAGCUUAACUUGGAAACUGCCAUGGAUACUAUAGGUCUUGAAUACUGUGGAGGUCAGCGGAAUAUGUCAUGUAGCGGUGAAAUGCUUAGAUAUGACAUAGAACACCAAUUGCGAAGGCAGCUGGCUACACAAAUAUUGACACUGAGGCACGAAAGCGUGGGGGAUCAAACAGG
rnacentral:rRNA from 1 species